GAUGAACGCUGGCAGAAUGCUUAACACAUGCAAGUCUACUUGAACUUCGGUUUGGGUGGCGGACGGGUGAGUAACGCGUAAAGAACUUACCUCACAGUUAGGGACAACAUUUGGAAACGAAUGCUAAUACAUGAUAUUAUGAUUUUAGAGCAUACUAAGAUUAUGAAAGCUAUAUGCGCUGUGAGAGAGCUUUGCGUCCCAUGAGCUAGUUGGAGAGGUAACGGCUCACCAAGGCGAGGAUGGGUAGCCGGCCUGGGAGGGUGACCGGCCACAGGGGGCUAGAGACAGGGCCCGUACGCAUACGUGGGGCAGCAGUGGGGAAUAUUUGAAGACAGACCAAAAGUGUGAUGCAGGAAUUCGGUGUGUAAGAUGACGUUUUUCGGAAUGAAAAGUGCUUUCAGUUGGGAAGAAAAAAAUGACGGUACCAACAGAAGAAGCGACGGCUAAAUACGUG
rnacentral:rRNA from 1 species